AUUUAAAUAGUUUAAUAAAAAUUUUGAUUUGUGGUGUCAAAGAUGUAGGAAAUACUUUAGAUU
rnacentral:tRNA from 1 species